rnacentral:rRNA from 1 species
CCAGACUCCUACGGGAGGCAGCAGUGGGGGAUAUUGCACAAUGGGGGGAACCCUGAUGCAGCGACGCCGCGUGGGUGAAGAAGCGCCUCGGCGCGUAAAGCCCUGUCAGCAGGGAAGAAAAUGACGGUACCUGAAGAAGAAGCCCCGGCUGACUACGUGCCAGCAGCCGCGGUAAUACGUAGGGGGCAAGCGUUAUCCGGAUUUACUGGGUGUAAAGGGAGCGUAGACGGCAGCGCAAGUCUGAAGUGAAAUGCCGGGGCUUAACCCCGGGACUGCUCUUGGAACUGCGCGGCUGGAGUGCAGGAGGGGCAGGCGGAAUUCCUGGUGUAGCGGUGAAAUGCGUAGAUAUCAGGAGGAACACCGGUGGCGAAGGCGGCCUGCUGGACUGCGACUGACGUUGAGGCUCGAGAGCGUGGGGAGCAAACAGGAUUAGAUACCCGUGUAA